ACCAUCAUGGCGCAGCAGAAAAGCAUGAUGCGCUGGGAGUAAGAUAUAGACACGGUGCGGUGGACGUGGAGGUGUGCUGCCCAGAUGUCCCUCCCAGGAAGGACUGGUGGUCCCAGUUCUGGGAGUGCUGUCAGCAGGUGCUUGUCAACUGUCAGGCCUUCGAGGCCUCCAUCAGCUGCAGAGGGCCGUCUCCCCCGGGGGGGCCAUGUCCACAUCCAAUGACCGACUGAGGCAAGUGCAUAAAAGCCCAGCUAUUCGGCCCAGUGCCGGACAACUCAGACGGGCUUCCCAGUCCUGCCUCCCGUCCCUUCCUUCCACAGGUGCUAAUCCUAAGGGCAUUCCCUAAUAAACACCCAAAGCCUUAAUUCCCUUUCGGAGGCUGCUUUCCGGAGAGCGCAACCUGCCACAAAUGAGUAUGAAUUUCAGAUCAACUACUUAGGAACGCUGUGACUUUGGGGAAACCAUGACCUAUUUCCUGUAAGACUCAAUUUCCUUAUCUGCAAAAUGGGAAUAAUCGUAACUUCUUCAUAGGAUCAUGGACUGAGGUCAACCGAGAACUGUAUGUCCCUCAAAGCUUCAGUGAGAUGAUACAGCCCACAGCUCAGAGGUCCAUUGGGAUCAGUCAUAGACCUUACUCUGCCUGGGCCGGAGACUGCCAGCUCCAACUGACCUAGAACACUGCCCCCCAAACAAGCUUUGCUCUCCACCUCAUCCACCAAGGAGCUGCAUGCCUUCCUGUCACAGAUCAGUUGGCAUCUGGGAGAAAAGAGCACGAGGAGGAGAGCCCUACUGAACGUAUAGAAAAACACUUUUUAUAAGGAAUGAAAUCACAACAGCAUUGCAAAGCAAGAGAACAUGCCAUUGGCAGAACAGAAAAUUUGAGGGACUCCUGGAAGAUAAAAAUUAGACAGGAUCAAUAUAUAAAUUGACAGAGAAACCAGAACAACAACAACAAAAACACUAGAACCAAAACAUCAAAGACAUGUUCUCUCUAAGGGACACCAGGAAGCUCUGCAGUCCCAAUCAGCGACUGGGAAGAGCAGGGGUGGCUUGUAAAGUAGUAACAGGGCAAGGAACUGGCAUGAACAGGGCGCUUGGAGCCCAGGAUCAACCAUGCCUUCCUCAAACAGGGCGCACGGAAUGUCUACCACUGCGGCCAACCCCGAGUAUCCCCUCCGAAAAAGGGAUGAUUCGUCUGGAGAGGAGAGGGCUCCUGGAACGGAGGUUGGGCCCGAUGAAUAAACUGAACCCAGCCUGAUUUAAUACCAGGUGUCUACAGCAGACACUAAGGAAGAAAACCAGCUGAAUCCAAGACUCUUACACCUAAUGUUCUCCCAACCCUGGCUGUUCACUGACUGUGAAGCUGCGGGGUAGUCGGCCCAGGGAGGUAGCUGUCCUCUCACACGGAGCCUGCAGUCAGUCCUCCUGUAGGGGAGGCAGGAUCGCCUGACUCCAGGGAAACCCAGAUUUGUGAGCGUCCACGUGGCCCUUCACGCAUGAGCAGCAGUAGACAAACGGGGGCUCUCAGGCAGGCGUCUGAAGGAUGGGCAACGGGAUGGUCAUCGCAGCAUCGUCUGUAAUAGCAAAAAUGAAUACAGAGAUGAAGGAAGGAAGGAAGGAAGACAACCCAAAGCUGCAAUAGGGGAAGGCCUGGAUAAGACACAGUAUGCCCACAUUAUAAUUACUCUGCAGUAACUAAAUGACC
ensembl:lncRNA